rnacentral:rRNA from 1 species
UCCAGACUCCUACGGGAGGCAGCAGUGGGGAAUAUUGCACAAUGGGGGAAACCCUGAUGCAGCGACGCCGCGUGAGUGAAGAAGUAUUUCGGUAUGUAAAGCUCUCUCAGCAGGGAAGAAAGUGACGGUACCUGACUAAGAAGCCCCGGCUAACUACGUGCCAGCAGCCGCGGUAAUACGUAGGGGGCAAGCGUUAUCCGGAUUUACUGGGUGUAAAGGGAGCGUAGACGGCAGAGCAAGUCUGAAGUGGAAGCCCGCGGCCCAACUGCGGGACUGCUUUGGGAACUACCGGGCUGGAGUGCCGGAGAGGUAGGCGGAAUUCCUAGUGUAGCGGUGAAAUGCGUAGAUAUUAGGAGGAACACCAGUGGCGAAGGCGGCCUACUGGACGGUGACUGACGCUGAGGCUCGAAAGCGUGGGGAGCAAACAGGAUUAGAUACCCCGGUAU